AAGUAUAAGAGUUAUGAUCACCUUAGCCACCCAUUCCCCCUGGUCCCUGUUCUACAAAGUGAUCUUAGCGAUACAACUAUCGUAAGCCAAUAUGAAAGUCUAAGAGUUACGAUCACCUUAGCCACCCAUUCCCCCUGGUCCCUGUUCUACAAAGUGAUCUUAGCAAUACAACUAUCGUAAGCCAAUAUGAAAGUAUAAGAGUUACGAUCACCUUAGCUACCCAUUCCCCCUAGGCCCUGUUUCACAGAAGUGAUCUAUCUUAGCGAUACAACUAUCAUAAGCCAAUAGUAAAGCAUAAGAGUAAUGAUCACCUCAGUACUAAGAUCGCUUUGUGGAACAGGGCUCCACUUAAAGGGAAGGUAAGAUGACUAGUACACAUCAAUCAACAUUUAAUCUCACUGCUUGCUACUGUAAUGUCCUUUCACUCCCCCUCCCUCCCCUUGCCUUGCCCCAAUCAUGCUGACUUAUCAAUUAUUUCAGUGUCAGUGUCUGUACCAUUCAUGUUUUGUUCAUAAGAAACCAACAGAACUUUAAAAAUUAUUUGACUAUUGUGUUCUUCAAACUGGCCCUAUAUUUAAACCUGUAGGUAGAGAAAGCCAUUCGUAGGGUCAGAUUUAGCUGAAAGAUAAGAAACUGAGUGUUUUCUGUGGUAGGACUGUGAGAACCAGAGGGACACGCCCACUGGACAAAGUCCUGUUGUUUCAAGUGGGGAAGUGUUGUGUCCUUAUGAUGGAAUGUGGUCAAGGAGGUAACACUUGACCCUCUCCUUCUACAUGGUCACAGUGACCUUCCCAGGCCUGACUCCAUCCUCUCACUGGUGACCGCCUCCAUGGUCGAAUGAAGUGAGUGUCUGCCAAGGUCGGUGGUCACGUUGUGUCUUGGGUAUAUGACAAUGGUAUGACACAUGGUCACACUGUGCCUGGCGUAUAUGACAAUGGUAUGAAACAUGGACACAUUGUGCCUGGCGUAUUUGACAAUGGUAUGAAACAUGGACACAUUGUGCCUGGUGUAUAUGACAAUGGUAUGACACAUGGACACAUUGUGCCUGGCGUAUAUGACAAUGGUAUGACACAUGGUCACAUUGUGCCUGGCGUAUAUGACAAUGGUAUGACACAUGGACACAUUGUGCCUGGCGUAUAUGACAAUGGUAUGACACAUGGUCACAUUGUGCCUGGCGUAUAUGACAAUGGUAUGACACAUGGACGCAUUGUGCCUGGCGUAUAUGACAAUGGUAUGACACAUGGACGCAUUGUGCCUGGCAUAUAAGACAAUGGUAUGACACAUGGUCACACUGUGCCUGGCGUAUAUGACAAUGGUAUGACACAUGGACACAUUGUGCCUAGCGUAUAUGACAAUGGUAUGACACAUGGACACAUUGUGCCUGGCGUAUAUGACAAUGGUAUGACACAUGGUCACAUUGUGCCUGGCGUAUAUGACAAUGGUAUGACACAUGGACACAUUGUGCCUAGCGUAUAUGACAAUGGUAUGACACAUGGUCACAUUGUGCCUAGCGUAUAUGACAAUGGUAUGACACAUGGUCACAUUGUGCCUGGCGUAUAUGACAAUGGUAUGACACAUGGACAUAUUGUAUUGUGUAUAUGACAAUAGUAUGACACAUGAACACAUUAUGUCUUGUGUAUACGACAAGGCACAUUAACAACCAUGAGAAACAGACACAGAUGUAUAAAACAAUCACACACUGACAGCUCCGUGAGAAUGUCGACUCAUCAAUAGACCCACACAGAUGCCCAGCAGCCAAGAUGACAAGACGUCACAAGUCCAGUAAUGUAUUCCUAACCACACACUCCAUUAGCAACUGUCCCAGAAGCUACUUCUACUGAACUGAGGUCAAUGAAUGCGCUGAUUACUCAAAUCUCCAUAUGAUAGGGUUAUGCACUGACUGUGAGACUUACAGACAUUCAUAGGAACAUGACCCACAAUAGAAGCAUUGUGUUCACUUGUUGUGAAUAUAUUAACACAAUUGAUGUGUCCACAAUACUGACCAUACCCUGUAUAAUACCUUCUUGUCGUCCUUCACAGAGUAAAUAUACCAGUCUACACAGGAGAUGAAGAUGGCUGUCAAGAUGUUCCCAUCUGUUCCUGGGUCAUCUAGGAUCACUAGCCACUGAAUACAUUCGACAAAUGUUUACAGCGAGUCAGCUUGAUGUGCAGGGUAGGAGGGAAGUGAUGCAGGCCUCAGACGGUUACCCGGUACCACUUUGGUGAAACUCACCUGCACAGUGAUGACCACAUGGGACACAGUGGAUGGACUGACACAUCUUGUCAUGUGAGAAACAAACCCAUGUGUUUGGCAUGACCAGACCCGCUAGGCUACCUAACCAACCCUUGGUACGUCACAGCCUACAUACACAAGACACAGUGUUAUGAUUCAAAGAUGAGGCUACAACUAGGAUGCCUUGUCCUCCCAUGACUGCAAUGCCUGGCAACCUGCAGCUGUAUCAACUCACACUGAGUAACUUUCCUUAUGAAAUAUGUUUUUAUCUGUUUUAGAUAUACAACAUUAAAUAUAGAUCUCAACAUGUGGAAAGUUUAGUCCUUAUCUGUCCCUCACUACUCCCCCGCACUGUCAGCGAAGUCAGGAGUGGGCGGUCGUGUUUAGAAUGAACCUACAUGGUAAAUAAAUGUGUUUGAGUUGUAUCUUUGUACAACAUUGCUAAAAUGCGGUGAAAAAUCGGGAGUCAGUUAAUUAACUGAUAAGGUUAUCUUUUUCAAAUUUGUUACUAAAUUUACCAGAACAUAUGACAACUGAUAUGAUUAU
rnacentral:lncRNA from 1 species